GGGAAUCUUCCACAAUGGACGCAAGUCUGAUGGAGCAACGCCGCGUGAGUGAAGAAGGCUUUCGGGUCGUAAAACUCUGUUGUUGGAGAAGAAUGGUCGGCAGAGUAACUGUUGUCGGCGUGACGGUAUCCAACCAGAAAGCCACGGCUAACUACGUGCCAGCAGCCGCGGUAAUACGUUGGUGGCAAGCGUUAUCCGGAUUUAUUGGGCGUAAAGCGAGCGCAGGCGGUUUUUUAAGUCUGAUGUGAAAGCCCUCGGCUUAACCGAGGAAGCGCAUCGGAAACUGGGAAACUUGAGUGCAGAAGAGGACAGUGGAACUCCAUGUGUAGCGGUGAAAUGCGUAGAUAUAUGGAAGAACACCAGUGGCGAAGGCGGCUGUCUGGUCUGUAACUGACGCUGAGGCUCGAAAGCAUGGGUAGCGAACAGG
rnacentral:rRNA from 1 species